ensembl:snRNA U5 U5 spliceosomal RNA
AUACUCUAGUUUCUCUUCAGAUUGUAUAAAUCUUUUACCUUUUACUAAAGAUUUCUGUGGAAAAGAACAGUUAUGAGGGUUUUUUUCAAGGGUUUAAAAAAAAACACG